GGGUAGCUUCUGAAAGUGAGAUGCUACCCGAUAUGAUCUUCCUAUAGUAAAACCUUUGUAAUUGUCUACUUGCAGCACUCAACAAGUAGAGUUCUUGUACGCUCAAUUCUGAGGUACAGGG